rnacentral:misc_RNA from 1 species
UGCCCCUCACUUGCCAAUACGUCUAGAUCAGCCAGGGCGUCGGCAUGUGUAGCGUAUUAUGUUGGGCUCUCUCGAGAUAAGGAUACGAUGUCCCUUUAUCGGUUGGUUUCCUGUGUGUGCGGCCCGUUCGUUUUUUUGUUACUUUCGCAUCGUUCGGUGCAUUCUGGGGGCUGUGUUGGCUUUUGGUGGCUUGCUUGGCCUUUUGGCUUUGCUUGUUGCUACUUGUCGGGCUGCUUUCGGGAAUGUCGACCGUGGAGGUGCAUGAGUGGUGUUUGGUUUGUUACGUGUGGAUGGCUGUUUGCUUGUGCAACAACGUUCACGCUGCAUACCUCUUCAGUUUUGCGGCAAGGCUUGGUUUGGCUUGUGCAUAUUGUGGGUUUCCUGUGUUGCAUACCUAGUUGAUGGAAAAGUGUGGGUUUUACGAUUUUCAUUUUCGUCUUGCGUCGUUCUUUUGGCGUGAGAUGAACAAUGAAGCGAUCUUUGUGAUCCAUCGUGCUGUUGCGUUUGCAACAAUGAUGUGGCCUAUGAAGCAUCGUUUGGUCUCUUGUAUACGGAAGCUCAUUUGGGCUUGGGUCUUUAUAAGAUCUUCGUUACGCCCUUGUUAAGCGUUCUCGCUUCUCCUAAACGAUUG